AAAUACAGUUGCUUAGAGCCCAUACCUUGCUGAUUCUAGGCACACUGCCUGUGAGUUAGCCCUGCUCCACAAGAAGUAGUACUGUUCAGGAAAAGGUUGCUAUCUAACACCACUAGCUUGCCCUUGAAUUCUUUCCUGGGCAAAGCCAAGAACCCUACUGGGCUAAGCCCCAGUCUUGGGGCUCACCUGUCCUGCAUCAUCAGGUGGCCACAAAGGGAUGAAGAUAAUGAGUGGGAGGAAGUGACCACUGUGGCAUUGAGACAGCAGAAAUGGCAGUCAUCAGCGGCAAGAUGGCAAGACAGUGGCAAUUAGUAAAGAGGCCAAAUGAUAAGAAAUACUUGAGAGCUGGAGAAAUGGUGAGACAGCAGGAUGGCAAGACGGUGACCAGCGAGAUGGUGAGAGGCGGCAAUCAGAGAGAGGUGGUGAUGUGGCAGUCAGCCAGCCCUGUAAGGAUCAAAGCUGCAGAGAGCUGGAACACUAACCAAAGGUUCUUUGCAGGACCAUCAUCUUUCCUGGCAGAUGGUGGAGCUGAGUGGAUAGACGAGCAGCCAUAGCGCAGGGAUUCAAAGCUCUGGCUGGGAGGCUGCAGGAUCACAUGCCAAUUCCCUCGCAGCAACCGAGCCUGCCCAAGCCUGGGAAACCUGGGGAGUAAACCUUCACCUGCACCGUACAUCAGAGACCGGUUGGCCCUAUUUUGACUCCUGUGGACAGACCCUGUCUCUCAGGACUCUGAAGCAUCUUCGUCUCACCUAAGCCAUCCCCACGGGAUCAUUAUUAUAUGACAUAGCCACCAAAGUGCAGAUGAGGAAACUGAGGGCCAGACAACUUGCUGAUGUUACACUGGCUACCACUUUACUGUGAGCCACGAAGCACCACACCUGGUCUCAUGGCAGGAAUGGCUUCUUGGCCUUAGGGAACACUGGCUGUGUGGAAAAAUCACACCUCAGAAUGAUCCAUGGGAGAGAAAAGGGGAGAGGGAGUUUGCUGCCCUCUCUGCCCUGUCUCUUGUCUCUACUGGCCCAAGUUUGUCCCAUGGGGAGUCGAGAACCCCUUCCUCCUGGGUGGUGUCAUGCAGCCUCUUUAGCAGGCGCUAGGGAGGUUAGCUCCCAGGCCUUGUGGGUUGGCUGUUUAUCUGAGUCUGGAGGUGGUUGGAGGAGCCAUAACCCCAGAUAGGGAGCAGGUGUGUGGGCCACACACAGUAGCUGAGGCAAAGCAGGCACCUGAGGAAGCAGAUGAGGCUGAGAGAAGUCUGAUACUCAUGGAUGGGUGUGGUGAGUGGUCAUUGAAAUGCAGACAACUGGGCUGGGCGUGGUGGCUCACGCCUGUAAUCCCAGCACUUUGGGAG